rnacentral:rRNA from 1 species
UGCCAGCAGCCGCGGUAAUACAGAGGGUGCAAACGUUGUUCGGAAUCACUGGGCAUAAAGCGCGCGUAGGCGGCUUUGUUAGUGCGGAGUGAAAGCCCACGGCUUACCCGUGGAAUUGCUUCGCAUACUGCAGAGCUCGAGGACGGUAGGGGAAAGCGGAACUCUUGGUGGAGCGGUGAAAUGCGUAGAUAUCAAGAGGAACACCAAAGGCGAAGGCAGCUUUCUGGUCCGUUUCUGACGCUGAGGUGCGAAAGCCAGGGUAGCGAACGGGAUUAGAUA